AAAAAUCCAAGAUUAAAUUUAGUAGCCAAAUAUGUGGAUGUUCAGUGUAUUAUAUCUGGGAUAGCAAGAAUAAGUUCUGUCCAAAAAAAAUGCAAUCGCGUCGGAAUCAAAUUCUAAGACGAUGAACUCCAAUGAACAUGUAUCCCGCUCAUGCAAUGACUAUUGGUUAAAUCAUGCGAUGCGCUGGACGCAAUCGAAGAACACAGUCGUCCCAUAUUCUCCAGCAGCACUCGUAGACUCCCACGCUCUUGUUGGUAUCAUCCCCGUAGCUGCUAACAUCAACACGACCAGAUAAUUUACUAUUUCGUGGAUUUCUAACUGGAUCCCGUUAGAAUAUGUAUCAACUUUUAUUCUCCUUAAUAAAUGUGCAUUACUGUAUGCGUA
rnacentral:lncRNA from 1 species